GAAGCGGCAACAGCUCAAAUUUGAAGAUCUGACCCUUUGGGGUCCGAGUUGUAAUUUGCAGAGGGUGUUUCGGGCGCGGUACCGGUUUAAGUCCUUUGGAACAGGGUGUCAUAGAGGGUGAGAACCCCGUAUGCGACCGGCCGCCAAACCUAUGUGAAACCCCUUCGACGAGUCGAGUUGUUUGGGAAUGCAGCUCAAAAUGGGUGGUAAAUUUCAUCUAAAGCUAAAUACUGGCCAGAGACCGAUAGCGCACAAGUAGAGUGAUCGAAAGAUGAAAAGCACUUUGGAAAGAGAGUCAAACAGCACGUGAAAUUGUUGAAAGGGAAGCGCUUGCGACCAGACCUGCUCGUGGGUGAUCAGCGGUGCUUUUCGCGCCGUGCACUCGUCCGCGAUCAGGCCAGCAUCGGUUCAGGCGGCCGGACAAAGACUCGGAGAAUGUAGCUUCCUUCGGGGAGUAUUAUAGCUCCUUGUGUAAUACGGCCAGCCGGGACCGAGGACCGCGCUUCGGCUAGGAUGCUGGCGUAAUGGUUGUAAGCGACCCGUCUUGAAACACGGACCAAGGAGUCUAACAUCUGUGCGAGUGUUUGGGCGUUAAACCCAUACGCGGAAUGAAAGUGAACGUGAGGUGGGAACCCUCUCGGGGGCGCACCAUCGACCGAUCCAGAUGUCUUCGGAUGGAUUUGAGUAAGAGCACAGCUGUUGGGACCCGAAAGAUGGUGAACUAUGCCUGGAUAGGGUGAAGCCAGAGGAAACUCUGGUGGAGGCUCGCAGCGGUUCUGACGUGCAAAUCGAUCGUCAAAUCUGGGUAUAGGGGCGAAAGACUAAUCGA
rnacentral:rRNA from 1 species